rnacentral:misc_RNA from 1 species
CACCAUUAAAUAUAAGAAAAAAAAUUUUCAAACUUGCAAAGAAGAAAAAGGAAAGGAUUGUUUGAGGAUAAAGUCAUAUUUGAAGACUUUGUUACAGUUCAUCUUAAAGUACAGAGAAAACCCCAUUCUUGUUUCGAUGGACAAUUCAAAUAUUUUCAGCUAUAUUCAAUAUAACUAGUCUUCUUGGAUGUUGAUAAAUUUCAUUGAGAAUGUGAAUCAGAGUAUCU